UAGGGAAUCUUCCGCAAUGGGCGCAAGUCUGAUGGAGCAACGCCGCGUGAGUGAAGAAGGUUUUCGGAUCGUAAAGCUCUGUUGUUGGUGAAGAAGGAUAGAGGUAGUAACUGGCCUUUAUUUGACGGUAAUCAACCAGAAAGUCACGGCUAACUACGUGCCAGCAGCCGCGGUAAUACGUAGGUGGCAAGCGUUGUCCGGAUUUAUUGGGCGUAAAGCGAGCGCAGGCGGAAGAGUAAGUCUGAUGUGAAAGCCCUCGGCUUAACCGAGGAACUGCAUCGGAAACUGUUUUUCUUGAGUGCAGAAGAGGAGAGUGGAACUCCAUGUGUAGCGGUGGAAUGCGUAGAUAUAUGGAAGAACACCAGCGGCGAAGGCGGCUCUCUGGUCUGCAACUGACGCUGAGGCUCGAAAGCAUGGGUAGCGAACAG
rnacentral:rRNA from 1 species